AAGUCGUCGCAACAGUCAAACGGCCAGAAUUCAAGAUGAGCGGAGAGAGUAUUUUUGGCCUUUACGCUAAAAGCGCCUCGGAGCAGAAGGUGCUCAGUAAAAGCGAGUCGCCGUACACUGGCGUGUAUGACAAGCACAUGGCUGAGCCAGAAAAGCCGAGUUACUCUACUUUUUUCGAAAAAGGAAAGGAGUACGACGGCACGAAUGUGCGUUUUUUCAAGCAGCGGGAGGCUGUCAUUGGAAAAAAUGUGGGGGACUCCAUCGACCCCCAAAAGUACCUGAAAAAGGGAGAUGGCAUCCGCUACAUCGUACCCGCAGCACAUGAAGAAAAAAUGUACCGCAAACCGCCUGUGGACAACUCGACCCCGUUCAGCCAAGGCGGGCGAAGUGGUGAUGGGGACAGCGCGUUGGCGGGGGUGCAGUACAAUGCCGAUGGCAAUCCUGUUUCCGAUGGAAACGGCUCUCUUGAUGCUGGGCGCAGCGGCCAGGAUCCCAGCGGCGCGCAAGGAAGCGCAAACAACGGAGCUGCUCAUGGUUAUGGCAGUGGGGACUACAGAGGAGAUGGCCGAGGUGGUGGCGCCUUUUCACGGGAUGCAACAAAGAAUUUCGUCACCUCGAACAUCGUGGAGAUUAGCAACAUGGUACCGAAGCGACGAAAGAUGCAAGCACCACUUCCAACCAGCCGUAAGAGUUUUGGUGAGACGCCAGCGUACAUGUCGCGUGUCAAAAGAGAAAUUGCUGAGGAAAAAGCUUUUGUAGAAUCAUUGCAGGAGGCAAAGGCUCAGCGUCAGCAACAAGCCCAUGCCAAGUACAUUUAUCUUCUCCCUCGGGAAGAGCACGAUAAGCUGGUGCAAAGCAUGCGAAGGCGGAACGAUGAGUGUAUCUAUGAACUGCAGAGGAUGCCGCUCUCAAAGGAUACGGCUGGGAUGCGAAAGCGCAAGACGGAGCUGGAGAAGACAGUCGCAGAUAUUGAGGUAGCGCUGAAGAAGCUCGACAGAGAUGCCCUAUUCAUCUACAAAGAUGAUCCUGUAAACGGACAAUGGUGCAAGGAGGCCGCCCUGAAAGAGGCACAAAAGUAUGCUGCGCAUUCACACUGAAAGGUUGAAUGUGCAUGUAGAUCAUUGCGUUGCUGCUUUUGUUUCUUUUUGUUGAUGUUCUUUCCUGUCUCUCACUUCCACGAUGUAGUUAGGCCCUUGCCUCCUGUACAGACUUUCAAAGG
rnacentral:misc_RNA from 1 species